rnacentral:rRNA from 1 species
GACGAACCACACAAACGUUAUUCGGAAUUACUGGGCUUAAAGGGUGCGUAGGCGGCGCGGAAAGUAGGGUGUGAAAUCCCUCAGCUCAACUGAGGAACUGCACUCUAAACUACCGUGCUUGAGGGAGAUAGAGGUGAGCGGAACUUAGGGUGGAGCGGUGAAAUGCGUUGAUAUCCUAAGGAACACCGGUGGCGAAAGCGGCUCACUGGAUCUCUUCUGACGCUGAGGCACGAAAGCUAGGGGAGCGAACGGG